rnacentral:lncRNA from 1 species
UCAGAAGAAAGAGACAGUGCAAACUUGAACACAAGCAGAUGAAGCAUGUAAGAACAUGAACAGAGUUAAAAAAAUUGAAUAACUUCAACGGUAGGCACAUAUAGCAUAAGAGUAGUGAAAACAUAGCAGAAAUUAAUACUAGAAAAGAAAUGGUAAAACAUAAUAUAUGCAUAAAAUAAAAGAAAUCAUACGAGUAAGGUAUAAACAAACACACAUAAAGCAAAGAAGAAAAGAAUCAAAAAUUUCAAAAAUCCUUGCAGAAACCCUAAAAAUCGUAGAGAAACAAUUUUGACAAAAUCUUUUGGGGAAAACACUCUAGAUGGCAAGAAAAGCGUAGACAUAGUACAGAUCUAAACAAAUAAUGGUGAAAGAACCUCGAAUGGCUUAAGGUUUCAGAGAAACUCUAGAAAUGAGAAAGUCUUGAAGACAUGUCUGAUCCUGAGUUAGAAAGGUCAAUAAUCGGGCUCCUAAGUCUCGAAUGUGCCGGAGCAUGACCGGAGAAACCAUGGAAUCAAAGAUCGAAGAAUAUCGGAGAGGGAAUCGUCGAGGUUAGGCCUCACAACUUCGAACAACCAAGGUCUAAUGGUGGAGAUGAGUGAUUAUAGACCAUCUAUGGCCUGAGAAGCCAUGGAUUCCAGUGAAAGUACGGUGAAAAAGGGGUUGGAGACGGCCAAGGUUCCGAAGAAACUUCGAGAGAGUUGAGGGUGGAGAGCAU